rnacentral:rRNA from 1 species
CCUACGGGGGGCUGCAGUAAGGAAUAUUGGACAAUGGCCGCAAGGCUGAUCCAGCCAUGCCGCGUGCAGGAAGAAGGCCCUAUGGGUCGUAAACUGCUUUUGAACUAGAGAAAACCCCCUUACGUGUAAGGGGCUGAUAGUAUAGUUAGAAUAAGCAUCGGCUAACUUCGUGCCAGCAGCCGCGGUAAGACGAAGGAUGCAAGCGUUAUCCGGAUUCAUUGGGUUUAAAGGGAGCGUAGGCGGACUGAUAAGUCAGUGGUGAAAUCUUUGGGCUUAACCCAGAAACUGCCAUUGAUACUGUUAGUCUAGAGUACAGUUGCCGUUGGCGGAAUAUGACAUGUAGUGGUGAAAUACUUAGAUAUGUCAUAGAACACCGAUUGCGAAGGCAGCUAACGAAGCUGUAACUGACGCUGAGGCUCGAAAGUGUGGGGAUCAAACAGGCUUAGAUACCCCGGUAGUC